UGGGGAAUAUUGGACAAUGGACCGAGAGUCUGAUCCAGCAAUUCUGUGUGCACGAUGAAGUUUUUCGGAAUGUAAAGUGCUUUCAGUUGGGAAGAAAUAAAUGACGGUACCAACAGAAGAAGUGACGGCUAAAUACGUGCCAGCAGCCGCGGUAAUACGUAUGUCACGAGCGUUAUCCGGAUUUAUUGGGCGUAAAGCGCGUCUAGGUGGUUAUGUAAGUCUGAUGUGAAAAUGCAGGGCUCAACUCUGUAUUGCGUUGGAAACUGUGUAACUAGAGUACUGGAGAGGUAAGCGGAACUACAAGUGUAGAGGUGAAAUUCGUAGAUAUUUGUAGGAAUGCCGAUGGGGAAGCCAGCUUACUGGACAGAUACUGACGCUAAAGCGCGAAAGCGUGGGUAGCAAACAGGAUUAGAUACCCUGGUAGUCCACGCUGUAAACGAUGAUUACUAGGUGUUGGGGGUCGAACCUCAGCGCCCAAGCAAACGCGAUAAGUAAUCCGCCUGGGGAGUACGUACGCAAGUAUG
rnacentral:rRNA from 1 species